rnacentral:rRNA from 1 species
UGCAGUCGGACGGGAUUGAGGAGCUUGCUUCUCAUGAGAGUGGCGCACGGGUGCGUAACACGUAUGUAACCUACCUUGUUCAGGGGGAUAGCCUCUCGAAAGAGAGAUUAACACCGCAUAAAAUCAAUUUAUGGCAUCAUAGAAUGAUCAAAUAUUUAUAGGAACAAGAUGGGCAUGCGGAACAUUAGCUAGUUGGUAAGGUAACGGCUUACCAAGGCUACGAUGUUUAGGGGAUCUGAGAGGAUGACCCCCCACACUGGUACUGAGACACGGACCAGACUCCUACGGGAGGCAGCAGUAAGGAAUAUUGGUCAAUGGACGCAAGUCUGAACCAGCCAUGCCGCGUGCAGGAAGGCGGCCCUACGGGUUGUAAACUGCUUUUGUACCGGAAUAAACCUUUUCACGUGUGAGAAGCUGAAUGUACGGUAAGAAUAAGGAUCGGCUAACUCCGUGCCAGCAGCCGCGGUAAUACGGAGGAUCCAAGCGUUAUCCGGAUUUAUUGGGUUUAAAGGGUGCGUAGGUGGCCUAUUAAGUCAGGGGUGAAAGACGGUAGCUUAACUAUCGCAGUGCCUUUGAUACUGAUGGGCUUGAAUACACUUGAGGUAGGCGGAAUGUGACAAGUAGCGGUGAAAUGCAUAGAUAUGUCACAGAACACCAAUUGCGAAGGCAGCUUACUAAAGUGUUAUUGACACUGAGGCACGAAAGCGUGGGGAUCAAACAGGAUUAGAUACCCUGGUAGUCCACGCCCUAAACGAUGAAUACUCGAUGUUGGCGAUAUACGGUCAGCGUCUAAGCGAAAGCGUUAAGUAUUCCACCUGGGGAGUACGCCCGCAAGGGUGAAACUCAAAGGAAUUGACGGGGGCCCGCACAAGCG